UGCCAGCAGCCGCGGAAAUACGGAGGGUGCAAGCGUUGUUCGGAAUUAUUGGGCGUAAAGCGUGCGUAGGCGGACUGUUUAGUCUGAUGUGAAAUCCCGCGGCUCAACCGCGGACGUGCAUUGGAUACUGGCAGUCUUGAGUCCUGGAGAGGAGAGCGGAAUUCCUAGUGUAGAGGUGAAAUUCGUAGAUAUUAGGAGGAACACCAGCGGCGAAAGCGGCUCUCUGGACAGUGACUGACGCUGAGGCACGAAAGCAUAGGUAGCGAACAGGAUUAGAUA
rnacentral:rRNA from 1 species